GUCAACUACCCCGGACUGAAGUCCGGAGCUUGCAAGGAGGUACGCAGGUUGGGUUGACCAGGGGGCCGGAGUAAUCCGGCAGACGUUGGAUACGGGUCGCUCAGACGCACCAGUGGAUGCUUCCUCAGUCCACUGCUCUGCAAGGUUGGGAUCGUGCUGGCGAAAGGUAAAACGCCGAAGGUUUCAGCCGCUGCUGGAAACAGCAGGAGCCGGUAUCCAUCCGCCCCGAGGGGAUAUUGAC
rfam:Acidithiobacillus ferrooxidans ATCC 23270, complete genome.